UACGUAGGGUGCGAGCGUUAAUCGGAAUUACUGGGCGUAAAGCGUGCGCAGGCGGUUUUGUAAGACAGAUGUGAAAUCCCCGGGCUUAACCUGGGAACUGCAUUUGUGACUGCAAGGCUAGAGUACGGCAGAGGGGGGUAGAAUUCCACGUGUAGCAGUGAAAUGCGUAGAUAUGUGGAGGAACACCGAUGGCGAAGGCAGCCUCCUGGGCCAGCACUGACGCUCAUGCACGAAAGCGUGGGGAGCAAACAGG
rnacentral:rRNA from 1 species